rnacentral:miRNA from 1 species
GACCCUGGCCUGCACUCUGUC